rnacentral:tRNA from 1 species
GUGUUUGUGGCGCUGUUGGUUAAAGCGCCUGUCUAGUAAACAUGAGAUCCUGGGUUCGAAUCCCAGCAGUGCCU